rnacentral:misc_RNA from 1 species
UACGAAUGGGGCAAGCGUUGUUCGGAAUCACUGGGCUUAAAGCGUACGCAGGCGGAAUGGAAAGUCAGAAGUGAAAUCCCCGGGCUUAACCCGGGAAUUGCUUUUGAAACUCCCAUUCUAGAAUCCCGGAGAGGUUGGCGGAAUUCCGAGUGUAGAGGUGAAAUUCGCAGAUAUUCGGAGGAACACCAGUGGCGAAGGCGGCCAACUGGACGGGUAUUGACGCUGAGGUACGAAAGCGUGGGGAGCAAACAGG